CAGAGUGUAGUUUAACCGAGAAGAACCUUUCCCUUACACUGAGAAAAUACCCGUGCGAAUCGGGUCGCUCUGA
rnacentral:tRNA from 1 species